rnacentral:lncRNA from 1 species
GGGCUUCUGAACCCUGGCUGUUUCGUUAGCUUCCUACACAGCUGCCGGUGAGCAAGAGCUAUCCUGGAGAGUCCUGGGCAUGCUUGAGGACUCCACACUGCUGCCGGCCUGGGAUUCUAUGUUGCAUAGCUGUAGAUGCUGUUGGUCCUCUGGGAACGGUAAAGCUCCAAGAACUGGUGCCACGGGUUUGUUUGUAAGGAAAUCCUGAAGACUGACGUGUAGCUCUCCAUCUUUGAACUUAUAAUCCCGCUUGUGGCUUCAGAGUUCUGGGAUCACUCCUGUGGAUCACAUUAACCCAAGACAACACCCACCUUAAAAAUCUCCAGGAAGUUCUCACUGGCUGGUAGACAGAACAACAGUGUCUGGAAAGAGACACGAAUCACAUGAUCUCAAAGUGAUUCAACAGCGUUAGAUUGUGAAUAGAAAGGGGGCUUAGGUCUGUCCCGCCCCAUUUGUUUACCUACAUUUCCUCUUUGUAUAGGCAUCGUGGUGCAGAAUUUAAAAAUAUUAUAAUCAA